rnacentral:rRNA from 1 species
CCUACGGGAUGCACCAGUGGGGAAUAUUGCACAAUGGGCGCAAGCCUGAUGCAGCCAUGCCGCGUGUAUGAAGAAGGCCCUAGGGUUGUAAAGUACUUUCAGUCGGGAGGAAGGCGUUGAUGCUAAUAUCAUCAACGAUCGACGUUACCGACAGAAGAAGCACCGGCUAACUCCGUGCCAGCAGCCGCGGUAAUACGGAGGGUGUAAGCGUUAAUCGGAAUUACUGGGCGUAAAGCGCACGCAGGCGGUUGAUUAAGUUAGAUGUGAAAUCCCCGGGCUUAACCUGGGAAUGGCAUCUAAGACUGGUCAGCUAGAGUCUUGUAGAGGGGGGUAGAAUUCCAUGUGUAGCGGUGAAAUGCGUAGAGAUGUGGAGGAAUACCGGUGGCGAAGGCGGCCCCCUGGACAAAGACUGAUGCUCAGGUUCGAAAGCGUGGGGAGCAAACAGGAUUAGAUACCCAGUAGUC